GAACGCUGGCGGCGUGCUUAACACAUGCAAGUCGAACGAUGAAGUUCCUUCGGGAAUGGAUUAGUGGCGAACGGGUGAGGAACACGUGAAGAAUCUGCCCUCCACUUUGGGAUAACACCGGGAAACCGGUGCUAAUACCGAAUAUUGAAAUAUAAGUGGCAUCACUGAAUUUUGAAAGAAUUUCGGUGGAGGAUGACUUCGCGGCCUAUCAGCUUGUUGGUGAGGUAAUGGCUCACCAAGGCGACGACGGGUAUCCGGCCUGAGAGGGCGACCGGACACACUGGGACUGAGACACGGCCCAGACUCCUACGGGAGGCAGCAGUGGGGAAUAUUGGGCAAUGGACGAAAGUCUGACCCAGCGACGCCGCGUGAGGGAUGAAGGC
rnacentral:rRNA from 1 species